UACGUAGGUCCCGAGCGUUGUCCGGAUUUAUUGGGCGUAAAGCGAGCGCAGGUGGUUUAUUAAGUCUGGUGUAAAAGGCAGUGGCUCAACCAUUGUAUGCAUUGGAAACUGGUGGACUUGAGUGCGGGAGAGGAGAGUGGAAUUCCUAGUGUAGCGGUGAAAUGCGUAGAUAUUAGGAGGAACACCAGUGGCGAAGGCGGCCUGCUGGACGACAACUGACGGUGAGGCGCGAAAGCGUGGGGAGCAAACAGG
rnacentral:rRNA from 1 species